GUCCACGCCGUAAACGAUGGACACUAGGUGUCGAGGGUAUCCACUCCCUCGGUGCCGCCGCUAACGCAUUAAGUGUCCCGCCUGGGAAGUACGGCCGCAAGGUUAAAACUCAAAGGAAUUGACGGGGGCCCGCACAAGCGGUGGAGCAUGUGGUUCAAUUCGAUGCAACGCGAAGAACCUUACCUGGGUUUGACAUCUGACGAAUUUUUUUUGAAAAGAAAAAGUGCCCGAAAGGGAGCGUCAAGACAGGUGCUGCAUGGCUGUCGU
rnacentral:rRNA from 1 species